rnacentral:tRNA from 1 species
AGGGAUAUAGUUAAUUUAUAACAUUUAUUUUGCUAAUAAAAAUAAUUUAUUUAAAAUAUUUUAUUCUUA